rnacentral:rRNA from 1 species
UACGAAGGGGGCUAGCGUUGCUCGGAAUCACUGGGCGUAAAGGGUGCGUAGGCGGGUCUUUAAGUCAGAGGUGAAAUCCUGGAGCUCAACUCCAGAACUGCCUUUGAUACUGAGGGUCUUGAGUAUGACAGAGGUGAGUGGAACUGCGAGUGUAGAGGUGAAAUUCGUAGAUAUUCGCAAGAACACCAGUGGCGAAGGCGGCUCACUGGGUCAUUACUGACGCUGAGGCACGAAAGCUAGGGGAGCGAACGGG